rnacentral:lncRNA from 1 species
CACAAUUGGGACUGGCUAUACUGCUGUGCUGAAAAGAAGUCUCAGGCCUCAGAGAAAAAGAAUACCGUGGAGAUGUCUGCCAGAGGAAGACAGAAUCACAACAGGAACCAGUUUCCUUGUAGACAUCUCCCAAGAGUCUUUCCUUGAUCUGCCUUCCGCAUGCUUCUUACUUGGUGAGUUUCAUUUUGUUUUUACUUUUCCACAAUGUGUAUUGUACUUUGUCACAUUAUAUCUUUAUUGGGUUUAUUCUAUCUUUUCCAUUAUUUUGAAAAAAAUGUCCAAAGCAAUGACUAGUAUACUGCAGACUCUUUUUUGUAAACAUGUAUUGAACAAAUAGGUGGUCAUGAGCCAGAGGUUAUGUUAUUAUCUCAAGUACUCUUGAAACAAUCCUUCUAGGCAUGAGUAACAUUAUUUCAAAUUCCACACAUGGGAAAACAGAUUUAAAUAUGUCAAAUAAAUUUAACAGAUGCAUGUAGGUACUAAAUAUU